GAUGAACGCUGGCGGCGUGCCUAAUACAUGCAAGUCGUACGCACUGGCCCAACUGAUUGAUGGUGCUUGCACCUGAUUGACGAUGGAUCACCAGUGAGUGGCGGACGGGUGAGUAACACGUAGGUAACCUGCCCCGGAGCGGGGGAUAACAUUUGGAAACAGAUGCUAAUGCCGCAUAACAACAAAAGCCGCAUGGUUUUGUUUGAAAGAUGGCUUUGGCUAUCACUCUGGGAUGGACCUGCGGUGCAUUAGCUGGUUGGUGGGGUAACGGCCUACCAAGGCGACGAUGCAUAGCCGACCUGAGAGGGCGAACGGCCACAUUGGGACUGGAGACACGGCCCAA
rnacentral:rRNA from 1 species